rnacentral:rRNA from 1 species
UACGUAGGGGGGCAAGCGUUGUCCGGAAUCAUUGGGCGUAAAGAGCGCGUAGGCGGCCCUGUAAGUCCGCUGUGAAAGUCAAGGGCUCAACCCUUGAAUGCCGGUGGAUACUGCAGGGCUAGAGUCCGGAAGAGGCGAGUGGAAUUCCUGGUGUAGCGGUGAAAUGCGCAGAUAUCAGGAGGAACACCGAUGGCGAAGGCAGCUCGCUGGGACGGUACUGACGCUGAGGCGCGAAAGCGUGGGGAGCGAACAGG